UCGCUAGUAAUCGUAGAUCAGCAUGCUACGGUGAAUACGUUCCCGGGUCUUGUACACACCGCCCGUCACACCACGAGAGUUUGUAACACCCGAAGCCGGUGGAGUAACCAUCUAUGGAGCUAGCCGUCGAAGGUGGGACAAAUGAUUGGGGUGAAGUCGUAACAAGGUAGCCGUAUCGGAAGGUGCGGCUGGAUCACCUCCUUU
rnacentral:rRNA from 1 species